rnacentral:rRNA from 1 species
UGAGGAAUAUUGGUCAAUGGGCGAGAGCCUGAACCAGCCAAGUAGCGUGCAGGAUGACGGCCCUAUGGGUUGUAAACUGCUUUUAUGUGGGGAUAAAGUGCGUGACGUGUCAUGCAUUGCAGGUACCACAUGAAUAAGGACCGGCUAAUUCCGUGCCAGCAGCCGCGGUAAUACGGAAGGUCCGGGCGUUAUCCGGAUUUAUUGGGUUUAAAGGGAGCGUAGGCUGUCUAUUAAGCGUGUUGUGAAAUUUACCGGCUCAACUGGUGGCUUGCAGCGCGAACUGGUCGACUUGAGUAUGCAGGAAGUAGGCGGAAUUCAUGGUGUAGCGGUGAAAUGCUUAGAUAUCAUGACGAACUCCGAUUGCGCAGGCAGCUUACUGUAGCAUAACUGACGCUGAUGCUCGAAAGUGCGGGUAUCAAACAGG